AUUUUAAGGAAACUGUUCACUGUUUCCCAAAUCAUAUUCACAUAGGAUCCUUUCACACACAGACAGCAAAUUAAGUGGGGUAUGCUGGCCUGCAACAAGAAUAGAAAGAAAACACACUCCUGGUCCAUUUGCUGGGCCUUUUAUUUCUCUCUCACUAUCAUUACUGCAACCAGGCAGUGAGACAGCAAGGCAAUAGCUAGUAAUCUCUGUCAAGUCCGCUCAGUCUACGCUACUGACUGAAGUUUGUCAUUACUUAUUUCUUCAGAUCGCCUGCCAGGAUGCUUUGGGUGGAGAGGGAGAGCAACGUGCACUUCUCUUCCGACUUUUAAUUGAUCUGAUUCCAGCAUUUAUCUCCUUGUAGCUCCAGGGUUGUCCGGGACUUCAGCACCAGUACUUAAGCUUGCAUUCUCACCCACAUCUGCUGUACUGUCUGCGCAUAACAAUUCACAAGGAUGUGACAGUUAAUCUAUAAAUGCCACUAAGGAAAAUAGCACAUUUCUUCUAAAGGAGUUGAGGAAAAACAGAGAAAAAAAAAAAGCAUAAAGCAAAGACUAGGAAAACACAAAGACUGAAAGCUAUGCUGACUUGAAGACCACAUCUGAAGUACAUAUAAUUCAAAAAAAAAAAAAAAAAAAGGUCCUUUUUGUUUCAAACAUUUUACAUCUUGGUCAAGGACUGGCUACACUGAGAAUCAAUGAAUUCCCUACCUUUUCUUAUUUGCAGCAGGGCCUCCAGUUGGAAGGAAAUGCUGUGAGAGGAAAAUGCAUCAGCAAAUUUAUUUAUUUAUUAACAUUAGAAGAGGUUUGAAUGCAAUUUUUAAAAAUACUCCCUGAGGUAGGUACUCACCUUCCUAUUUCUGUUACAUGGCAUUUAUUUUCUGCCACCGUACUAUCUAAAUACAGACUCCAACUAAAGUAGCAUACUGUCCAUCCUAUCCCAGCUGGUCUCGCAUUUGCUCAGGAAAACACUACAGCUAAUGUGCUCACCAAGCUGGUUGCUGGCAAGCAAGUUUAAAAAACAAACAAACAAACAAACAAAUGAACAAACAAACAAACAAACAAACAAAAAAUUCUUUAAUUCAUUCGGGCACUCAGAAUUCCAUGGUGGCUGAAGUCUUCUCCCCUGUGGGUCAGGGGGGCACAGCAGCCAAUUAUAUUUUGUAAUGUGGUGAUCAUCUCAUCUUCAGUAUUUCAAGCAAGGAACCCCACAGUAGAAACAGUUAAAAUAUGAAAGAACCAAAUUUCUGGAAGAUAUAAAUCACCCUUGUGAUAUAUGGAGUAAUAAUUUGUGUCAAGAAGAUGGUUGAUAUUAAUAAAGAAGGGGAGACAUGGGAGUGUGGCCGUGGGGGUCGACAAGCCCCAUGGUUGGUGAUAACAUCAGACUCUUAACGAUGAGGCCAUCAGGAGUGUAAAGAGUUUAGAGGGAACCAAGAAGGGUGAUUCAGGAGACACCAUGCAGUCUCAGGUUGCUUGUUCUCCAGCCAUUAAGGCAUGGAAGUUGCUGGGGGGUUGCUGUUGCUGGUCAAAAUUGUUUGACCAAUGACAAGUUGUUUGAAAAGGACUACUGUGGGGUGAAGGGUAUAUAAGAGGGGAACCUGUCCUCAAGAUGGAAAGGCAACAGGAUACAACAAAGUUAUGUCACCAAUAAAGAAGUAGGAAGAAGGAAUGAAUAGGACGGGCUAGCAGAAUGGGGACCAGGACAGAAACAGGGACACUGAUUGCCUCAUGAAGAUAGGUUUGGCCAAACUCAGCAAACUGCUCAAAGAAGGUUGUACAGAAAGUCGCUGGGAAGAAGCUCAAGCUGAAAGAAGUGGAGCCGCGCACACAAUUGCCCCUUGGUGGUCAGCAGUUGCGAGUUAUGGGGAAUCGUACAUCCUUAGGAACAAAGACUGUCCUGGUAACCUUACAGCUUAUUCUUCUUAUUAACAAUCAGACAGUUUAUGAUCCUGUAACAUGGGACCAAACUGAGGUCAAGGUGUGGGACUCUUCAACUAAAAAUGACAAGGUUGUAGUGGGAUUGUUCUGCACCUGGUGAGCAAUCUCUGAGGCCUUAAAGAGCCUUGUGGGACCACAGUCAGAAAUGUGUGGUUUGCCAGACAGCAAGGAAGCUGCAGGCUCGUUUACAGAUCCGACUACUACACCAUCGGCCCCUCUGCUGCUACAGCCAUCGCAGGCCUUUGCUGUUACUCCCCCUGGUAACCUGGGCGUGCCUUUUGACCCAGGGCCUAUUGGCCUUGAAAAGGAGAUGGAAAUGUUUUCCUUUGAUCCGGGAAGAAUAGGAUACAUAAGGCCCGAAGAACGAGUUGCUUAACAACUUAAAGUGAGACAU